rnacentral:rRNA from 1 species
UGGGGAAUUUUGCGCAAUGGGGGAAACCCUGACGCAGCAACGCCGCGUGAGUGAUGAAGGCCUUCGGGUCGUAAAGCUCUUUUAGUGGGGAAGAAGCCCUCCGGGACCAAUACUCCCGGGGUCUGACGGUACCCACAGAAAAAGUUCCGGCUAACUACGUGCCAGCAGCCGCGGUAAUACGUAGGGAGCAAGCGUUGUUCGGAAUUAUUGGGCGUAAAGAGCGCGUAGGCGGUUCGGUAAGUCUGACGUGAAAUCCCGGAGCUCAACUCCGGAACUGCGUUGGAUACUGCCGGGCUUGAGUGUGGGAGAGGAGAGUGGAAUUCCCAGUGUAGAGGUGAAAUUCGUAGAUAUUGGGAGGAACACCCGUGGCGAAGGCGGCUCUCUGGACCACAACUGACGCUGAGGCGCGAAAGCUAGGGUAGCAAACGGG